UAGCGCUAGGCGCUUCAUGAGUCGCAACG
rnacentral:sRNA from 1 species